ensembl:lncRNA
UGCUCUCAAUCCAUUUUGUUUUACCUUUGGGCUCUCUGAUGACAUGGCUGAAGCCAAGCCGUUUGCACACGUGAUGAAAAGCUUGGUUGCCUGGGUUUGACCACUGAUCCAUGUAGUCGCUAGAGCAUGUCCAGAUCAAGUUGUUAAGAGCAUCAUAGCUGGCCCCUGCCCUGCCACUUGAGCACCACGACCCAAAGAACUGCCAGGGGCAUCAAUCAGGUCUACACGACUGACAAACUGACCAUCAUUCAAGUUAAACACCAAAUUAGAGGUCAGAACUGAGAAACACAAAGCGUUAGAAUUGAGAGAGAGGAGAGAGAAAGAGAGAGAGAGAUAAAGAAAACAUGCAAGCAAAAAGGAAAAACAUUCAAUCCAUUGCCACUUUGUAGAGUAUAAUAACAUCCCACCACCACACUGACUCAAUUGCUAAUAAUUACAAUAUUUAAGCAUUACUGGCUUGUGGUCUUAGAAUUUGAUCAGACAUCUGACAUUUCUUACUCUUAAGGGAAGAAAGGCCACUGGAUCCACCAAAAAGUGAGCGAGUCGCAGAACUCCCAGCUACACCAGGAGGGGAGGCCAGCAUUACCAGGUAGGUCCCACAGACAUACAUGGGUGUUUUCCUCAAAGUCUUAAGAGGAAGACCGCAGCUAGCAUUUACUACUAGGAAGAAAGGGAAAAAUACAUUGGCACAAAAAUGCUCUUUUAUCUCAUUACUAUCACCACAUUGUUAAUCCUUAUUACUUGUCAGCCCUGGUCAAUUUAUAGAUUUAUUUUCAUACCUAGCUUCAUACUGUUAUCUAUAAUGCGAUUCCAUUGUGUGUUACACAGUGGUGGAAUAUACACAUGCAUAAUGCGACAUGUAACAAAAUUUAAUUCCUACACUCAAACUCUAAGAGAAACGAACCAAAGAAUGUCCGCACAAUCGCUCAAAUUACGGCAUGAUGCUGGCCUAAGACACGGCAGAAAAUUUACUCAUAAAUGUUUGUGGUUCCUAUAAUAUACACUAGACUAGUAAUGUUUACCGGACAUACUGGAAAAAAAUCCGGUCAUCGCGUUUCAGUGUUUAGUUUGAGCUAGAUUGUUUUGGACUAUGCAUAGUACCGUAUAUGUGAUUGUGGGGGUGGGGGCGUGGUCAAGCGACAGCUGUGGAUGGAGAGGACGCGGGUCAAAUCAGCUGGUAAAGAGUGUUUUGGAUUAGCCCGAGUUUACUUGUGUGUCUGUCUGUGCUUUAAGUGCCUCCUUUAAUGAGAAAGAGAGCGAGAGAGCCGAAUAGCACAAAAGAUGCGUGUGUGGGGUUGAAGUUGGAUAUUGUGAGCAAAUCAGUGUACAAGUUACAGGAGAAGCAUGUGAACACAGACCUUAUUUAGGUGCGUCAUUGCAUACAUACAUUGUCUAACAUGUGUCUGCUUCAUUUAAAUAUUUUUUACUGGUCAUUGUGUCCGACAGCUUUUGAUUUUAUAGGACAUUAAGAAGUUUUAACUGUCGAAAACCGGUAUUUACCGGCUAACGGAAACUCUGGCGGACACCUGAAUAUUGAGCAUCCCAUUCCAAAACCAUUGGCAUUAAUGUUGAGCUGUUCCCCCUUUGUUGCUAUAACAGCCUCCAUUUUUCGAGGAAGGCAUUCCACUAGAUUUUGGACUGUGGCUGGGGGGGGAAUUUGCCCAUUCAGCCACAAGAGCACAAACUGUUGAAAACUGGUGUCCAGCAAGCAGGCCUGGCAUGAAGUUGGUGCUCCAAUCCUUCCCAAAGGUGUUCAGUGGGUUUGAGGUCAGGGCUCUGUACAGCCACAGAGUUCCUCCACUCUGUCUAUACAGACCUCAAUUUGUGAACUGUCAUGAUUAUAGGUUUGGGCCUCUUAGUUUUCAGUGAAAGGAGAUCUUCAUGCUACAGCAUACAAAGACAUUCAACUUUGUGCCAACAGUUUUGCGAAGGCCAACAUAUGGGUGUGAUUAUCAGGUGUCCACAUACUUAUGGGAAUAUAGUAUAGUAUACAAUUCCUACAUCCUGUACUGAAUAUUUUUAGUCAUAUAAAUAUAUCCAAAUAAAUAAAUAAAUAAAUAAAUAGAUAGAUGUCCCAAAGUAUAGCUUAUGGUUGUGAUUGUGUUUCAGCGUGGCACAAGUACAACACACUAACGAAACUGAAUAGACUAUCAACUUUAUUAAUAGGCACUAUUUCAAAGAGAAUCAGAUAUUUGCUCGUCCGAACAUGUCAAAAAAGACAAUAAUUCUCAUGGGGUGUACUUAUCUUUCCACAUGACUAUGUGCCUUUCUACGAACCCAAUUUCAAAAAAGUUCGGACGCUGUGUAAAAUGUAAAUAAAAACAGAAUUCAAUGAUUUGCAAAUCUCAUAAACCCAUAUGUUAUUCACAAUAGAACAUAGAAAACAUUUCAAAUGUUUAAACUGAGGAAAUGUACCAUUUUCAGAAGAAAAAAAGGUAAUUUUGACUUUGAUGGCUGCAACACAUCUCAAAAAAGCUGGGACGGUGCAAUAAAAGGCUGGAUAAGUAAGUGUUACUAAAAAGAAACAGCUGGAGGUUGAUUGGAAACAGGUCAGUAAGAUGAUUGGGUAUAAAAUGAGUAUCUUAGAGAGGCAGAGACUUUCAGAAGUAAAGAUGGGCAGAGGGUCACCAAUCUGCAAAAAACUGCAUCUACAAUUUGUGGAACAAUUUCAGAAUAACUGUUCCUUAACAUAAAAUGGCAAAGACUAUGAAUAUCUCAUCAUCUACAGUGCAUAAUAUCAACAAAAGAUUAAGAGAAUCUGGAGAAAUCUCUGUGAAAAAUCAAUAUUGCUUGCCUGUGAUCUUCAGGCCCUCAGGCGGCACUGCAUUAAAAACAGGCCUGAUUCUGUAAUGGAAAUCGCUGCAUGAGCUCAGAAACACCUCCAGAACUCAUUGUCUGUGAACACAGUUCUCCAUGCCAUCCACAAAUUCUGGUUAAAGCUCUGUCAUGCAAAGAAGAAGCCAUAUGUGAACAUGAUCCAGAAACGCUGCUAGCUUCUCUGCGACAAAGCUCAUUUAAAAUGGAUCGAGGAAAAGGGGGAAACUGUUCUGUGGUCAGACGAAUCGAAAUUUUAAAUUCUUUUUGGAAACCAUGUACACCGUGUCCUCUAAACGAAAGAGGACUAAAGAGGAGGGGGACCAUUCAGCUUUUUAUCAGCGCUCAGUUCAAAAGCCUGCAUCUCUGAUGGUAUAGGGAUGCAUUAGUGCCUAUGGAAUGGGCAGCUUGCACAUCUGGAAAGGCAACAUCAAUGCUGAAAGGUAUAUACAGGUUUUAGAGCAACAUAUGCUUCCAUCCCAACUUUACUUCUGAGAUUUCUGCCUCUCUAACAUACUCUUUUUAUACGCAAUCAUGUUACUGACCUGUUGCCAAUUAACCUAAGUAAUUGCAAAAUGUUCCUCCAGCUGUUUCUUUUUACUAACACUUAUUUUUCCAGCCUUUUGCUGCCCCCGUCCCAACUUUAUUGAGACGUGCUACGGUCAUCAAUUUCAAAAUUACCGCUUUUUUCCUUAAACUGGUACAUUUCCUCAGUUUAAACAUUUGAUGUGUUUUCCAUGUUCUAUUAACAUAUCGAUUUAUGAGAUUUGCAAAUCAUUGCAUUCGGUUUUUAUUUACAUUUUACCCAGCGUCCCAACUUUUUUGGAAUUGAGGUUGUAAAUCGUGUCCAAUCAAAUUAAUUUGCUACAGGUGGAUACCAGUCAAGUUCUACAGACGUCCCAAUUAUAAUCAAAGCAAAUGUCCUGCACCUGAGCUCAAUUUGGAAUGCCUUUAGCCAAAGGUCUGAAUUCUUAUCUAAGCUUUUGCAUGGUCAUUGUUGGUUAUUGUGUGUAGAUGGUAAUGGUACAAAAGUCAGUUUAAUCCAGAACACAAUAAAAUGUACAAAAAUUGAAGGGGAUACUUUCCAAAUCCAUAUCAAAUAUUUUCGAAUUCCAAUUUGUAUAAACAUAAAAAUGCAAAACAACAACUUGCAACUUCCAUUUUCCACCACUUUCAUCAGGUUGUUUAAGUUACUGGGGAGACAUCAUGGAGAAAAAACAAGAACAAAUCUGAAUUCUAUUGGAAUCAUGGGCACAUUACCGAGUGUGAAUUUACCAGUUUGCUCCUCUUUCACAGGGUUUGUGAUGGUGGAGCCAGUGAGGGCAGCAAGCGUGGCCGAGUGAGAGGUGCGGAAACGAGACAUGCGACUCAUCAGCAGCUCAUUCAGACAUUUUGAUGACUCCCCCUCUUUUCGUGACAAGAUCACUCGCUCCCGGACAGCACUGGCCACACACAGCCCGGACUCAAUCUGCGGGAAAGAUAAAUGGGAAUUAUUAUUCAUGCCAUUCAUAAGCUUAUUGGACUAAUAUUGAAAUAUUUUUCCAGCAUAUACGAAUAUUCUGAUUUGCCCAUUACUAGCUCUGAAAAUCUCUGAACACAAAUUAGAUUCUCUUACACACAGAUGGGUGACAAAUGAAAGGAGGACAACAAAGAGCGUUAAUACUGUGUCGGAACGCCACAAGCCACCAAAACAGCGUCACGGUACAGAUUUGACAAAUUUCUGUAAAUGUAACGGAGGAACGAACAGCAUUCCUCCAUUCUUCUCGGUUGGUGUUUUGAUGAUAGGAGUGAUGAACGCUGCCUAACAUGCUAUUCCAAAAUCCCCCAUAGGUUUUCAUCGGACGACUAUGAACACCAUAGCAUGUGAUUUACAUUAUUUUCAUACUCAUCAGACUAUGUAGUGAGUACUUGUUUCCUGUGGGUAGGGGUGUUGCCAGUCAUCCUGGAAGAGACUACUCACAUCAGGAUAGACAGGUUUCAUUAUAGAAUAUAGAUUGUCAUUCAGAAGAACUUUGUAACUUCCUUCUAAGGGGAUAAGUGGACGUGAACCAUGACAGCAAACGCCCACACAAAUUUCUGUCACCAAGUU